CCUACGGGAGGCAGCAGUGAGGAAUAUUGGUCAAUGGACGAGAGUCUGAACCAGCCAAGUAGCGUGAAGGAUGACUGCCCUAUGGGUUGUAAACUUCUUUUAUAUGGGAAUAAAAUGUUCCACGUGUGGGAUUUUGUAUGUACCAUAUGAAUAAGGAUCGGCUAACUCCGUGCCAGCAGCCGCGGUAAUACGGAGGAUCCGAGCGUUAUCCGGAUUUAUUGGGUUUAAAGGGAGCGUAGGUGGAUUGUUAAGUCAGUUGUGAAAGUUUGGGGCUCAACCGUAAAAUUGCAGUUGAAACUGGCAGUCUUGAGUACAGUAGAGGUGGGCGGAAUUCGUGGUGUAGCGGUGAAAUGCUUAGAUAUCACGAAGAACUCCGAUGGCGAAGGCAGUUCACUGGACUGCAACUGACACUGAGGCUCGAAAGUGUGGGUAUCAAACAGGAUUAGAUACCCCAGUAGUC
rnacentral:rRNA from 1 species